rnacentral:rRNA from 1 species
CACCGCGGUUAUACGAGAGGCCCAAGUUGACAGACAACGGCGUAAAGUGUGGUUAGGGGAAGUUUAAACUAAAGCCGAAUGCUCUCAGGACUGUUAUACGUUUCCGAGAGUACGAAGCCCGACUACGAAAGUGGCUUUACAAAACCUGAAUCCACGAAAGCUAAGGAA